CUAGAGGCACUCAUAUAGAGUCAUAUUGCUUUGUAGUUUUUCAUAUCGAGUUGUAAGUAAAUAGAAGUGUGAUGCUAUUCAUUAUUUAGGGCACUGUGUGAGUGAGGAAAGGAUGAUGGAGAAAAUGAUUCCCCCACAAGUAGGGAUGAGACUCCAGAUGAAAAAACGAAAAUAUAAAGAAAAGGAAAAAAUAGGAAAAAAGAAAAAAAA
rnacentral:lncRNA from 1 species